rnacentral:rRNA from 1 species
GACGAACGCUGGCGGCGUGCUUAACACAUGCAAGUCGAACGGAAAGGCCCUGCUUUUGUGGGGUGCUCGAGUGGCGAACGGGUGAGUAACACGUGAGUAACCUGCCCUUGACUUUGGGAUAACUUCAGGAAACUGGGGCUAAUACCGGAUAGGAGCUCCUGCUGCAUGGUGGGGGUUGGAAAGUUUCGGCGGUUGGGGAUGGACUCGCGGCUUAUCAGCUUGUUGGUGGGGUAGUGGCUUACCAAGGCUUUGACGGGUAGCCGGCCUGAGAGGGUGACCGGCCACCUGGGGACUGAGAUACGGCCCAGACUCCUACGGGCGGCAGCAGUGGGGAAUAUUGCACAACGGGCGGGCGUCUGAUGCAGCAGCGCCGCGUGCGGGAUGACGGCCUUCGGGUUGUAAACCGAUUUCGACUGUGACGAAGCGUGAGUGACGGUAACGGGUAAAGAAGCACCGGCUAACUACGUG